rnacentral:sRNA from 1 species
UAGUCACAUGAGAAGAUAAGAAUUCUUUAUGGGGAGAUUACACUUCCAGUGGAGGCUUCGAGACUGCUUUGAGAAUAAGGCUGAGCUAGCUCAUCUCCGAGGAAAGAGCAGCUACUUGGCACAUGCCAUGGGUUUAGCUGGUGUUGGGAAUCGGAAGUUGGGAUCUGUGCUUCCUCUGUGACCAAUCUACAGCCUCUCUGGAGGCUUGGGGAGCAUGCCCUUCCCUCCAGAGGCACUGCCAAAGCUAGUUCAUUCUUUUCCAUGCUUUGGCUCGACCUCCGGAGGGUUCAAAAGUAAGUUUACAAAGCUUGGCUGAGAUACUAAGUCUGCGGUGAGUCCCUGACUCAGGAAGAACUCAGGCCUCCUGCCUUAGUGUCUGGUCACAGUGUCAAGGCUGGUUAGUUACCCACGGAAUGACUGAGCCGGAGAGUCAAUGGAUGGAGUGAUGGAUGAAUGGAGAAGGUACAGAUGGUGACAGCAAUGGCUAUUACAGGAGAUGCUCGCCAACUUAAGGACUUGUAAGCCGCUCACUUCGUGGGAGAGAGACAGAGAGAGGCUCUGACGCUUCAUAUUGAUUGCCAGCUUGACAGCACGUACAAUCAUCUGGGAUGUGAGUCUCUAGGCAUGCCUCUUAGGGAGUUUCCCGAUUAGGUUAAUGGAGGUGGGUGGGGAAUAGUUCACCCUAAAUGUGAGUGGUACCAUUCCAUGGGAAGAGAUCCCAGGCUGAAUAAAAAGAAUGCAAGCUCAACACCAAUAUUAACCUCUCCUUGAUUCCUGACUACAGAGGCAAAGUGACCAACUGCCUCCCUGCCAUGAUGGAUUUUGCAAUCAAACUGUGAACCAAAAUCAACACUUCCUUCAGUUGCUUUUCCUAUGUGUUUUCUGACAGCCAUGAGAAAAGUGUUAAUACAGGUACCUGGGACAAGAUACAGCACCCAAGGACAUAUCCUUGGGGAUCUUCUUGCUGUACCUAGAUGUGGAAGUUUCCAUUGCCUCCCAAUGCUGUCACAUCAUGAGUCCAUCAAGGGAAAAAUCCAUGGAUUAGGUCACACAGCGUCCCCACUCCCUUAAAACAGGAAUCUCUCUUUCAAUGACUGGAUCUACCAACUGGAACCAAUCCCAACUCUUUUUUUUUUCCUGAGAGCAUCUCCUAUUCAGACCAUCUUAGAACCUCUCAG